GUCUGGAAUCUGUCAGAUAAUGUCAGGGAUAUAUAUUUUAGAGUGACUCUAUUUGUCCCCAGGCUUUGGUCUAGUGUAAGAGCACAAUAUGCUUGGUAUUUAAGUGGAAGGGGGUAAAGGGGCAGGCAGUUAUCUACUGAAUUUUGAACUGUGCACCAUCGGCUUCUUGGAAAAUUCGAGGCUAUCAAAAGAAAAAAACUCUUUUCCGCACCCAAGAGUGUGACCUAGUGGUUGAUGAAGUAGAUUGAGAAAGGUUCAAAUCUAAGAGGAGAAG
rnacentral:misc_RNA from 1 species